rnacentral:rRNA from 1 species
UACGGAGGGUGCAAGCGUUAAUCGGAAUUACUGGGCGUAAAGCGUGCGCAGGCGGUUUGUUAAGUCCGUUGUGAAAGCCCCGAGCUCAACUUGGGAAUUGCAGUGGAUACUGGCAGGCUGGAGUACGGUAGAGGAAGGUGGAAUUCCCGGUGUAGCAGUGAAAUGCGUAGAUAUCGGGAGGAACACCAGUGGCGAAGGCGGCCUUCGUGGACCAGUACUGACGCUCAUGCACGAAAACGUGGGGAGCAAACAGG